rnacentral:rRNA from 1 species
GACGAACGCUGGCGGCGUGCUUAACACAUGCAAGUCGAACGGAAAGGCCCUGCUUUUGUGGGGUGCUCGAGUGGCGAACGGGUGAGUAACACGUGAGUAACCUGCCCUUGACUUUGGGAUAACUUCAGGAAACUGGGGCUAAUACCGGCUAGGAGCUCCUGCUGCAUGGUGGGGGUUGGAAAGUUUCGGCGGUUGGGGAUGGACUCGCGGCUUAUCAGCUUGUUGGUGGGGUAGUGGCUUACCAAGGCUUUGACGGGUAGCCGGCCUGGGAGGGUGACCGGCCACAUUGGGACUGAGAUACGGCCCAGACUCCUACGGGAGGCAGCGGUGGAGAAUAUUGCACAGUGGGCGGAAGCCUGAUGCGGCAACGCCGCGUGCGGGAUGACGGCCUUCGGGUUGUAAACCGCAUUCGCCUGUGACGAAGCGUGAGUGACGGUAAUGGGUAAAGAAGCACCGGCUAACUACGUG